UGGGGAAUCUUCCGCAAUGGACGAAAGUCUGACGGAGCAACGCCGCGUGAGUGAUGACGGUCUUCGGAUUGUAAAGCUCUGUUAAUCGGGACGAAUGGUUUGUGUGCAAAUAGUGCAUAGACAUUACGGUACCGGAAUAGAAAGCCACGGCUAACUACGUGCCAGCAGCCGCGGUAAUACGUAGGUGGCAAGCGUUGUCCGGAAUUAUUGGGCGUAAAGCGCGCGCAGGCGGACUAGCCAGUCAGUCGUAAAAGUUCGGGGCUUAACCCCGUGAUGGGAUUGAAACUACUAGUCUAGAGUGUCGGAGAGGAAAGUGGAAUUCCUAGGGUAGCGGUGAAAUGCGUAGAUAUUAGGAAGAACACCAGUGGCUAAGGCGACUUUCUGGACGAACACUGACGCUGAGGCGCGAAAGCCAGGGGAGCGAAGGGG
rnacentral:rRNA from 1 species